GGCAAACGAAGUGGCCGGAGGGAGCGAGAUGUGGUCUCUGGUGAUAGGAUUGACCAGCUCGACUGCAUAGGUGGAGUACUCCAUGGUUACCAGCCAGCCGAAGGAGGAUCCUCCUCCUCCCUCCAUCUGGUAGCCUGGAGUUGCUCCAUCUCGCCACCCCUACCACCAAAUUGUACAAGCUCCCUUUCACCCACAAUGAUAAUUGCAUCGUCG
rnacentral:misc_RNA from 1 species